AACAAUUAUAAUAUUUGUCUUUCCUUAUUAGAUUUUUAAGAGAUACAGGUAUCAAAGUGUCAUUCAUUUUGUUGGAUUGCACGAUGCAGUCUGCAAUUUAUUAAGAUCAAUAAAUUCUUUAUAUAAAAACAGCAACAACACUAUUCUUACAAGGUUCAGUUGGAUUUUUAAAAAAUGAUGUCUGGAAAAUUUAUCUGUUCAUGUUUCCUUCUGUUCCUACUCCAAGCAACACGAAGCACAGCUUCAUUGAUAUGCAAUAAAUGUAACAGCAGUGCAGGUUUAGAAAAAUGCCAUGACGUUAUUCAAUGUGGGGACAAACAAGUAUGGUU